rnacentral:tRNA from 1 species
GCCAGUGUGGCAUACUGGUUUGAGUGUUGGACUAUGACUCUGGAAACCAGGGUUCAAUUCCCCACUCUGCCA